AUGAACGCUGGCGGCGUGCUUAACACAUGCAAGUCGAACGAUUAACCCUUCUUCGGAAGGUCAUAAAGUGGCGAACGGGUGAGUAACACGUGACCAACCUGCCUCUCACAUUGGGAUAACUUAGAGAAAUCUAAGCUAAUACCAAAUACUCUUGAUCUGCCGCAUGACAGACCAAGGAAAGCUUUCGCGGUGAGAGAUGGGGUCGCGGCCCAUUAGGUAGUUGGUGGGGUAGAGGCCUACCAAGCCGAUGAUGGGUAGCCGGGUUGAGAGACCGACCGGCCACAUUGGGACUGAGAUACGGCCCAGACUCCUACGGGAGGCAGCAGUGGGGAAUUUUGCGCAAUGGGCGAAAGCCUGACGCAGCAACGCCGCGUGCGGGAUGACGGCCUUCGGGUUGUAAACCGCUUUCAGUGGGAAAGAUAAUGACGGUACCCACACAAGAAGCUCCGGCUAAAUACGUGCCAGCAGCCGCGGUAAUACGUAUGGUGCAAGCGUUAUCCGGAUUUAUUGGGCGUAAAGCGCGCGUAGGCGGCUUGUUAAGCAAGGUCUUAAAUCUUGGGGCUCAACCUCAAGCCGGAUCUUGAACUGGCAGGCUCGAGUAUGGUAGAGGAAAGUGGAAUUCCCAGUGUAGCGGUGGAAUGCGCAGAUAUUGGGAAGAACACCGAUGGCGAAGGCAGCUUUCUGGGCCAUUACUGACGCUGAGGUGCGAAAGCUAGGGGAGCAAACAGGAUUAGAUACCCUGGUAGUCCUAGCCGUAAACGAUGGGCACUAGGUGUGGGGAGGAUAACCUUUCCGUGCCGCAGCUAACGCAUUAAGUGCCCCGCCUGGGGAGUACGGCCGCAAGGCUAAAAC
rnacentral:rRNA from 1 species